AAAAACUGGAUGUGGUGACAGAUUGAUCUGUAGCUUAGCCCAUAUAAUUUCUCUGAAUGUAUUGAAGUUCUCCAUCAGGACACCGUAAAUAGUUUUGCAUGUGUAUGAUAUUAUGUCACGCUUCGCUUGUUUCGCAAUUGCAGUGCGAAAUUCUAUAUCCUUGUAGCGUCUUUCUGUGGCCAGGAAUCUUAAAGGCAGCCGCUAGUGUAGACAUAUUGUUCUCGUCGUACUAGUAUUUUUUUCCGUAACACGCGAGGGUACAUGAGUGUCCGAAUAUAAUUGUUUCCAAUCGCAAAUAAUUACGCCAGUCGACGGGUUCACCCUGCAUUUAUGUGCGAAAACUGCUUAAGCAUCCACUGUCUUGACCACUUUUAUAGGUUUCUCCGUUUGCAUUUUUUUUUUUUUCAACAUAAAUUACAAACACAGACCGGCGGAUGGCGGGCGAGCAACGGAAUGGUGUGUGAAUACACAGAAUUUUGCGCAGACAGGGGCUCGUGACUUUGAAGUGUACAGUUUGGCGUAUGCACUUUGGUGUAUCUGUGAUGGAGAUGGCGUAUGCCGGUAGUUUUGAAUGUUAUCAAUAGUAAAGAAUUAUUUUUAGUAUGUUUAUUUUCAUGUCGUAAUUGGAAAGGUUGUUGUUACACAUAUUUAUAAAAAUACGUUAAAAUGAGUGUUGUGUUUCAAGACAACAUCGGUUGGGUUUUAUCUCACGACAUGUUCGUGAAAAGUAUUUAUGGUGAAGUCUAUGACAAUAACGUUACGUGUAGGUUAGAGUUCGACCCAGCACUGUUUAAGAUUGAAACUCCAUUUAUAAAUAAAGCACCUGUCGACUCAGAUAAUUCGUUGGGCUCAGAUAGUUCCGGUAAUUUGUGGUUUUUACCCAAGAAGAAAAGAAGAACUAACAGAAACGGCGCCGAAAGUACGAAUAACAGUGCAGAGCAAGUAGUUAAUCUUGUGGCAAACAAAUCAUCAGUUUUACUUAACAAUGCAAAGAAACAGGGUGUGUUCAAUUGUGAGCCAUCAUCAUCAGAUACCUUAAGAAGAAACGAAGAUGCGAGAAACCUAUCGGUUAUAUUUUACAAAGAAAACUCUGAUGAACAAAAUAAGACAUUUCAUGGAGCCAACAAUCAGGAGUUUCCCAUAAUAGUGUCACAUGGAGAGAAAAAGUAUGUUUUCCCACCAAGGUGUAUGUUCUUUAAUAAUGAUAUAAGCAACUUGAACCAGAAAUUGGAUGUCCUUGGGAAGUUCGAUCUGCUGCUCUUGGAUCCACCUUGGUGGAAUAAAUAUAUACGAAGGAAGAAACAAAAGUCUCGUGAAUCAAGUUACAGUAUGAUGUAUGAUGAGGACCUGUUAAAAUUGCCAGUUGCAUCCUUAAUAGCUCCUGGUGCACUUGUUGCAGUAUGGUGCACAAAUUCUGAAACACACAUAAAUACAAUGAAAAAUAAAAUAUUUCCUUCUUGGGGAAUUGAGUGUGUCAGCAAAUGGUACUGGCUAAAGGUCACUCGGAGUGGUAUACCAGUUUGCAAUUUCUCUGAACCUCCUAAUAAGCAGCCAUUUGAGCAAAUACUCUUUGCACAUCAACUGUGUACACCAAGAAGUUUUCCAUUACCAGAAGAUGGAAAAAUAGUUAUUAGCAUCCCAAGUGCUAUUCAUUCACACAAACCUCCUCUGACAGAUGCUUAAAUGCAAACAUAGAGCCAGUGCAGAGGCCGUUUAUAGUCCACAAGUGUACUGGUCCUACUUGCUGAAGUUCGUGGACUAGGCCACAGUGGUAGAUGAAAGUGUCUCUAAUUUAGAGGAAAGUGGCAUUGAACAUGGAAACCCACGUUUGAAGAAAUUUUUGAGCAUGAAGUAGAGGCACAGUAUUCAUCGCAAGAAGAGACUGAUGUCACCGGUAGUGAGCCACAGCCCCAGCAGCAUGAACGGCCUCCCACAAAGAGAAGAAAAGUGACAACAGACAUUCUUUUGGAGGCCACAAAAAUGUUGAAGCCUGUGACUGAUAUGAGCAAAAACCAGUCCCAGCCUGCCCGGUCCCCCUGCGGGUCCGGGGGUAGGAACAGGCCAGAGGUAUUCCUGACUUGUCGUAAGAGGCGACUAAAAGGAGUCUCACACAUUCGGGCCUUUAUGUGAUGAUCCCCUUUAGGGUUUGACCUUCAUUUUUCCAAAGAGCAAGCCAAUUGGGGAAGGGUGCCUUACAUGGUGCAUUGUAUUCAUCAUGCAUUGAGAUCUUUAGCCCACUUUCUUGUCGAGGCAUUGCAGUCCCGCUCAUCCUCCAUCUCUUGGGCGAAGACACCUUCCUGGUUGCGUUUUCCUCCACCCACUACGCAGUGUCAUUUUCUGCGCUGAUGAUGACCAAGGAAUUCUUAGCACCUCAUAUCCAGCAUGGUAGUCAGUGUGUUGUGGUGGGGCCGCCAUGUACCCUGUUAGUUGUAGCCCCCAAACUACACAGGGGUCGCUCUGCUGAUGCCUGCACCAUUAACUCCCCACGUAUGCCAAGGAGUAGAUGCCUGUCACCCUGGGGCAUUGGGAGUCCUGGCAAUGGGCAUCGUGCCAUGUGGCCUUUGCUGCAGCUGGGUGGCGACCAUGGGAAUGGCCCCUGGUCAGAAUGGGUGUCAUCGUGGCGGAUGACACGCCUUGAAGUGUAGUACGUCAUCUCUUGCUGGUAGUCUGCCGCCAGCAGUCUCUAAUUGGGCAAAGUCUAAGUCAAUGAAGUCUCAGUUUUUUGUGGAGCAUUUAGAGGACAAGUUUGGGGAGGUGGAGGGACUGUCCAAAAUGCGAUCUUGAGCAAAACAGCCUCCUCUGCCCAGUUUAGGGCACCACUCACCUAUGACAAGCUGGAGCACGUUUUUGUUUCCAUCACACCCCAUAAGAGCUUAAAUCUGGUCCAGGGUAUUCCACAGGGAUCUUCUUUUGCAGUCUGAUGACAAGCUGCGCAUCAACUUAGAGCGACGAGGUGUUCAUUUCAUCCGGCACUUACAUAGGGGUCCAAAGGAUAAUCAGGUUGCCACUGGUGCCUUUAUCUUGGUGUUCGAGGGUGAUGCAUAACCCGAGAAGGUGAAGGUGAUGGUAUACCGGUGUGGUGUCAAGCCAUAUAUCCCUCCCCCGAUGCAGUCCUUCAAGUGCUGGAAGUUCGGGCAUAUGUCUUCACACUGUACUUCCACCAUCACCUGUCAAGAUUGUGAAUGUCCUUCACAUCCCAAUACUCCAUGUGCUUCGCUGCCCAUCUGUUCAACUGCAGAGAGCACCAUUUCCCUUGCUUGCCAGAGUGCAAGAUUUUACAGAAAGAAAGGAAAGUCAUGGAAUACAAGAUGCUGGACCGACUGACCUUCACUGAGGCUAAGAGGAAAUUUGAACACCUACAACAUGUGCAUAUGACAUCCUCUCACGCCGCCGCUACAGCAACAGUUCUAGCCCCAUCAGUUCCGCCAAUUCCAGUUGGCUCUCAGAACUGUAACACUACACCUGCUCCCUUUGUGGUGGGGGCACUUCCCUACCUGUUGCUCCCUCACUUCCUACCUCGGGAACACUGCCACCCCAAUCACUGGGGCCAUCAGUACCCACUUCUCAGCCGGAGAAGCAUCAGUCUUCUUCGCCUUCUCUCACUAGGAAGAGGUCCCUUGAGUCACUCCGUUCCCAGGUACCUACCAGUGGCAAAGCAGACACCCACCAGUGGCUGAAGUACUCACAGGUAGCUGGUCAUAGGGCUUCACAGUCCUCAUCAGUCCUUGAGACUGAAUCAGUGAAGCCCUCCCUACCACUGGAGAGCCCACGAUGACUUGUGUGGUUGUGACCACUUUCCCAUCUUCCUGUCACUCCCCUGACGUCAUCCGCACAUACGCCUACCCAGAUGGACUUUAAACAAGCUGGGCUGGGAAGCUUUCACCUCUGCUGUCACCAUCGAAUCUUCCUCAUAUGGUAACAUUGAUGUUAUGGUUGAGUGAGUGACCAGGACAAUUGUUUCUGUGGUGGAAAAUGCGAUCACUUGUUCCUUAGGGAGCCUCCGGCGAAAGACAGUACCUUGGUGGUCACCAGAAAUUUCUGAGGCCGUUAAGGAGUAUAGGCAGGCUUUGCAGUGACAUAAGCAGCACCCUUUCCUGGAGCACGUAAUAACUUUUAAACAACUCCAUGCCUCCAUUCACCAACUUACAAAACAAAUGGAAUCAGGAGUGGGGGGAGAGGUAUGUCUUGACCAUUGGGAGCCAUACGUCACCUUCCCAAGUCUGGAUGAAGAUCAAAUGUGUUUUUGGGUACAAGACCCCAACAGGUGUCCCUGGCAUUAACAUACAGGGUGUGUUAUCUACCGACUCAAACGCGAUUGCAGCACUAUGCUCGAGCCCUUGCGUUGGAGAAUUAGCCCCCCCCCCCCCCUCCUCCAGUCAAAUGGGCAGAUGGAAGGGAAGGACCUCGAAUCCUGUAAUGCUCCAUUUACUGAGAGGGAGCUCCUCAGCAGCCUUAAACAUUACCUCAACACAGCCCCUGGACCAGAUUGUAUCCACACUCAGAUGAUUAAACAUCUCUCGCCCCAUUGCAAGUGACAUCUCCUCAUCAUCUUCAACCGGAUCUGGUUCAAUGACAUCUUUCCAUCACAGUGGCAGGAGAGCACCAUCGUUCCUGUGCUUAAACCCGGUAAAAACCUGCUUGAUGUGGAUAGCUAUUGGCCCAUCAGCCUCACCAAUGUACUUCGUAAGCUGCUAGGAGCUAUGGUGAGUUGGCGGCUAUGUUGGGUCCUGUAGUCACAUGGCCUACUGGCUCCAUGCCAGGGUGGUUUCCUCCAGGGUCACUCUACCACUGAUAAUCUCAUGUCCCUCGAGUCUGCCAUCCGAACAGCCUUUUCCGGAUGCCAACAUCUGGUUGAAUCUUUUUUGAUUUACAAAAAGCUUACAUGACCUGGCAACAUCAUAUCCUUGCCACAUUAUAUGAGUGGGGUCUCCCGGGCCCACUCCCAAUUUUUAUCCAAAAUUUCCUGUCGCUCCGUACUUUCCCUGUCCAAGUUGGUGCCUCCGACAGUUCCCCCCAUAUCCAGGAGAAUGGGGUCCCGCAGGGCUCUGUAUUGAGUGUAUCUCUAUUUCUAUUGGACAUUAAUUGUUUAGCUGCACUGUAGGGCUGUCUGUCUCACCUUCUCUGUAUGCAGAAGACUUCUACAUUUCGUACUACUUCUCCAGUACUGGUGUUGCUGAGUGGCACCUACAGAUAGCCAUCCACAAGGGCCAGUCAUGGGUUCUAGCCCACGGCUUCCAGUUUUCAGCCGCGAAGUCGUGUGUCAUGUACUUCUGUUGGUGCUGUACCAUUCAUCCGGAACCAGAACUUUACCUUAAUGACAAUCCACUCACUGUAGUGGAGACAUAUCAAUUACUAGGGCUGGUUUUCGAUGCCCGAUUGACUUGGCUUCCUCACCUUCAUCAGCUUAAGCAGAAGUGUUGGUGGCACCUCUAUGUCCUCCACUGCCUGAGUAAUACCAACUGGGCUGCAGAUCGCCCUACACUGCAGCAGCUCUACAGUGCCUUGUUCAAUCCCGCCUUGACUAUGUGAGUCUGGUUUAUGAUUGGGCGACACCCUCAGCAUUGCAUUUACUCAACCCAGUGCACCACUGUGGCAUUUGACUAGCGAUGGGAGCUUUUAGGAUGAGUCCAGUGACCAGCAUACUGGUGGAGGCUUGAGUCCCUCCAUUGCAGAUCAGAUGUGCAUAACUCCUCACCAGUUAUGUUGCACGCAUCAUAGUUCUCCUGAGCAUCCGAAUUACCGUCUCCUUUUUCCACCCAUGGCGGUUCAUCUCCCGCAUCUGCAGCCUAGGUCAGAGCUUACGAUCACAGUUCAUACUCGAUACCUCCUGUGUGAACUAGUCCUUUCCUUUACCACCUCCCCUCCAGGUCCAUCCACAUACACCUCCAUUGUGUAUAACUAGGCCACAGCUUCGUCUGGACCUUUUGCAUGGCCCUAAGGACUCAGUUAUUCCCGCGGGUCUUCGUUGUCACUUCCUCUCAAUUCUUGACGUGUUCCGGACUCUGAAGUGGUUUACACUGACGGCUCGAUGACUUGUGGUCAUGUUGGCUUCGCCUCCAUCCACAGAGGCCAUAUUGAACAGCAUUCCUUGUCUGAUGGCUGCAGUGUAUUCACCACAGAUCUUGUGGCCAUAUGUUGUGCGCUUUAGUACAUCUGCUCAUGAUCUGGUGAGUCAUUUCUUCUCUGUACUGACUUCCUGAGCAGCUUACAAGCUAUUGACCAGUGCUACCCUUACCAUCCUUUGGUAGCGACCAUCCAGGAGUUCAUCUAUGCCCUGGAAUGAUCCAGUUGUUCCGUGGUGUUUGUGUGGAACCCAGGACGUAUCGAAAUUCCAGGUAAGGAACUUGACAACAGGCUGGCCAAACAGGCUACCUGGAAACCGUUUCUGGAGAUCAGCAUCUCUGAAAGGCUAUGUCCUGCUCCAUGAGGACCCCCCUCAGUGUCAGUGUAGUGCCUGGUUGACAGUGGUCCACAUUCUAUUGUGCUGUCCUGCUUUUUCUCUGCCCUGUGACAAAAUCUUUGGUUACUGGGCUCGUUGGCAUAAAUUUUAGCAGACAACACUUCAUUGACUGAUUUAGUUUUAUGUUUUAUAUGGGAGAGUGGGUUUUAUUGUUCUGUCUAAGGUUUAGCACCUCUGUGUUCUCUAGCCUAGUGUUUUUAGGCAGGAGGUUUUAAUGUGUCACAGAGUGUCUGGCUUAUCCUUUUUAUUCUCGUGAUAAGCCAGCCAUGUCAUCUGCUCUCUUGUUGUAAUCCCUUCAACCUGUUUCUUGCAUCUCUGUGGUUUUCUAGUACUAUUCUGUCUAUCAUAGUGUUUGUUAUCCUUUUGUCGUUCUUGUGGUUUUUCCUUUUUCUUAGUAUUAUGCUGCAUGUCUCCUUUGUUUUCUUCUUUCACUUGUAGAAUUGUUUUAAUGGGAACAAGGAACCAAUGACCAAGCAGUUUGGCCCCUUCCCCAUCCCUUUGAAACCAACCAAACAACCAGCCUGCCCAGAAAGAUUGGUACAGUGCCUUUGCCAACCAUAUCGCUGCUGAGCUGCAGAAGAUGGAAAAUGUGGGUGAUAAAGUAUUUGCAGCGAACACUGUGCAUGGAUUAAAUCAUUUUCUGGUGGACAGGUGGGAUAAGCUGCAGCUGACAAUUUCACAGUCAUAGCCACAGCCAUCCCCCUCUGGAUACACCCAGGCAACUUUCCACCUAGCUUGUAUAUAGGAGGAGGAGGAUGCUAUAACAUAUAUAAAUUUUCUGAGCUCUUAAGUCUUCUUAAUCUGUUUUUGUACUCAGGAUGCCUCAUGUUGUAAAGCACUUCAUCAGCUUCAUACAUUUAUUAAUUUUGUAGUUGUUGGGACACAAAAUGUAUUUAUUACUUUGUUCUGCAAUAAAAUAGUUCUUAAUGCACAUAAA